ensembl:lncRNA
AUCCUGUCAAACUCAUCACCUUUCCUAUAGCUACACCUGAUUUUUAAAACCCAACGGCACUUUUAAGAGCCAACCUCUAUCUCUUUAUUUUCUAUAUCUUACAUCCUCUCUGUUCUCAAUAUCUAUAGUUCUGUCCAUCUCUUCAAUCUUUAUCUAUCUCACAUCUAUUGCUCUUUCUUUUCUCCCUGUCUGUCUUUGUCUACCUGUCUUACCCAUCUUUGUCAGUCUGUCUGUCUGUCUGUCUGUCUGUAUCUGACUGCAUUGCAAUGGCCACCAAGAAUAAACUUGAUUCAAAGGAUCCCCACUACAAAGAGGGGAGACGCAUGGCUCUGGAGCUGAAACAUGAACACAUUUUAGCUGAAGCCAAGAGAGCAGCUGAUGAGAGAAAACGUGUACGAGACCCUCCACACACCUCUAAAAGGGACUCUGUAGGACGUGGUAAGCCGAGGGGAAGGCGAGGAGGACGACACCAUGCCUCCGCUACAGCCACAUAUCCCACGUUUGAGUGCUCCCUGUCAUCCAGUGUUGAGGUUCCUUUUACUGCAACCUCAACAAAACUAAAUCCUCAAGAGGAAUUUGAAAAAAAUAUGGAGAGGCUCUCUGAUAUUUUGGCGUCAUGUCCUUCUGCUGCUCAGCCUCAAAGUAGCUCUGCAUCAUCAUGGUCUUUUCGGCAGCAGAAAGCCUCAGAGCGCUGGAAAGAAGCAAGACCACACCACCUAAAAUGCCUUAUUUCAAAAGAGGCUGUUGGUCAUCCCCUGUGUGGCCUUUGCAACAAGCCUGCUGUUAUUAGGUGCAGAGAGUGUCUUCCUGAGGAGUGGUUCUGUGGGGACUGUGAUGUAUUGCAUCACAAAAAACAGCCACUCCACAACAGGGAAUGCGUGAUUCGUGGGUUUUUUGAAGCCAUUCCUCCAACCUUGUGCAUCAUUAAAGGGGAAGGUGGAUAUCGCAACCAUGAACAAGGUACGUUCUCACGAAAGCUUUAAUUUUGCUGUUCAAUGUGUGUCUGCAGACAGUUACAGAUGAUCUAAAUUAUUGGUUUUCCUUCUUUUUGCCAGCUUGCAUUUUGCCAACUGUGAAAAUGCCAGACUGCUCCUGUGAAGACACAAACUUCACUGUGUUACCUGGCAAACCAGUGAUUUUAAUUACCAUCAAUGGGCGUUUUGACUUGCAUCAGCCACUGUAUGAAUGUCAAACAUGCCAGCAGCAAUGGACCCCUGACUUUAAAGACCUCCUAAGAAGUGGAUAUUGGCCAGCCUCCGUCACCAAUUCCACACUUUAUACACUGGACCUCUUGAGCUCCCUUCAGGAACUCAAGAUCAUAUCUCCGGGAUCCUCCAGACAAGCCUUCGCAAAGCUGCUGGAGCAUCGCACUAAGUGUGGAGGAAGAUCUGGACCUAUCAACGGCGAUGCACUGCAGCGCAGCUUUUUAGAGCUUUCAUAUGCAUCAUUUGAGGAAGACCAGCUCUGCUGUAGUGCUUCUUUCACCUGCCCAGCCUGCACACCAGAAAUGUUGGCUGUUUCAGCAGAUGGAAAUAGAAAGCUAUAUCGCUUUCGCCGAAACGGAAGCUCUGAUGAUCCUGGCUUUUUUGAGGGGCUCUUUGUGGCUGAAGACAGUGCAGUGUCUACAUUUGUUAACACCAUACAGAAAGCAGUAAAAAAUGCAAGUUGACAAAAUAGUUGUUACAAUAAUAACCGUAACCCCCACUUCAAUUACUUCUGCCUACCAAUUACAAAAUCAAAUUGAGAGAAUAAAUGCCAUAUAUUGAAUGACA